ACCGUCAGCCGUUUCCAAGCUU
rnacentral:snRNA from 1 species